rnacentral:rRNA from 1 species
UACAGAGGGGGCAAGCGUUGUUCGGAAUUACUGGGCGUAAAGGGCGCGUAGGCGGCCGGUUAAGUCGAACGUGAAAUCCCUGGGCUCAACCCAGGAACUGCGUCCGAUACUGGCAGGCUUGAAUUCGGGAGAGGGAUGCGGAAUUCCAGGUGUAGCGGUGAAAUGCGUAGAUAUCUGGAGGAACACCGGUGGCGAAGGCGGCAUCCUGGCAUGAUACUGACGCUGAGGCGCGAAAGCGUGGGGAGCGAACAGG